UAGGGAAUCUUCGGCAAUGGACGAAAGUCUGACCGAGCAACGCCGCGUGAGUGAAGAAGGUUUUCGGAUCGUAAAACUCUGUUGUUAGAGAAGAACAAGGACGUUAGUAACUGAACGUCCCCUGACGGUAUCUAACCAGAAAGCCACGGCUAACUACGUGCCAGCAGCCGCGGUAAUACGUAGGUGGCAAGCGUUGUCCGGAUUUAUUGGGCGUAAAGCGAGCGCAGGCGGUUUCUUAAGUCUGAUGUGAAAGCCCCCGGCUCAACCGGGGAGGGUCAUUGGAAACUGGGAGACGUGAGUGCAGAAGAGGAGAGUGGAAUUCCAUGUGGAGCGGUGAAAUGCGGAGAUAUAUGGAGGAACACCAGUGGCGAAGGCGGCUCUCUGGUCUGUAACUGGCGCUGAGGCUCGAAAGCGUGGGGAGCAAACAGG
rnacentral:rRNA from 1 species